rfam:Lactobacillus equi DPC 6820 NODE_47, whole genome shotgun sequence.
UGCAGUGAUGAUGGCAUCAAGGAUACACCUGUUCCCAUUCCGAACACAGAAGUUAAGCUUGAU